rnacentral:rRNA from 1 species
GAUGAACGCUGGCGGCGUGCCUAAUACAUGCAAGUCGAGCGAAUGGAUUAAGAGCUUGCUCUCAAGAAGUUAGCGGCGGACGGGUGAGUAACACGUGGGUAACCUGCCUGUAAGACGGGGAUAACUCCGGGAAACCGGAGCUAAUACCGGAUAAUAAAGAGAAACUCCUGUUUCUUUUUUGAAAGUCGGUUUCGGCUGACGCUUACAGAUGGGCCCGCGGCGCAUUAGCUAGUUGGUGAGGUAACGGCUCACCAAGGCGACGAUGCGUAGCCGACCUGAGAGGGUGAUCGGCCACACUGGGACUGAGACACGGCCCAGACUCCUACGGGAGGCAGCAGUAGGGAAUCUUCGGCAAUGGGCGAAAGCCUGACCGAGCAACGCCGCGUGAGCGAUGAAGGCCUUCGGGUCGUAAAGCUCUGUUGUCAGGGAAGAACAAGUAUCGGAGUAACUGCCGGUACCUUGACGGUACCUGACCAGAAAGCCACGGCUAACUACGUGCCAGCAGCCGCGGUAACAC